rnacentral:lncRNA from 1 species
ACAGAAAUCAACCUGUCUUGCGGCCACCCAAGACCACUUCUGUCUGUAAGUUUACCUAAUAAAUCAGCAUUUACUAACAAACUAGAUUUGUUUGCUUCAUUCUUUGGUUUCUUGGCUCCUUAUGCAUCUGGGGGUAACUUUGCUUAUAUGACCCUUACAUGUAACAUCAUAUAAUAAUGUUUUUGAUUCUACAGAUGAAUACAUGAGGGAUAGGUGUGUCUAAGACUAUACAGCUAAUAAGUGAUUGGAAUAAAUAGAAGCAUUGACAUCCUGAGCUGUAAGAUCCUUCCACUUCCUGUCUGGUUCCCUUUGAUCCCAGCCUCUCUGACAUCACUGGAGAAAUGCCAGCCUAUGGAAGACAACCUCUGAGUCUCCUGGUGCCAAAACCAAGAACUUACUUGCAUCUACAUGUAAAUCAGAUUUUCCCUUGGGCAGCAUGGAGCAAAUCCCACUGUGAAAAGGUUUCCUCCGUCUUCCUCUUUGUCAGACUGCAUGCUGAGUCACAGGAUGGACCAGAUGUGUUGGUAUGAGAUGAAGUCAGGCCGGGAGACAAGAUGGCAGGCUGAGAACUGGGGCUGGCCCUUCCUGUGCUGUCCAUUCCGGUGUGGUCCUCCAGCCCUUCUGGAUUGUCAUAAAGGUGAUCGAUCAUUAAAGGAUCCAGCUUCAGAGGGAUGUAGGAGGAAAAACUAGCAUGUAAGAGCCUGCUUCCCCUUGGCCUUCUGCUAUGAUUGUAAGUUUCCUGAGGCCUCCCCAGUCAUGCUUCCUGUACAGCCUGCGGAACUGAUGCAUAAACAUCUUGGUAGACCUUAGGUCCAAGAUAAAAAUUUACAAUGUUGAUGUAAGAUAACGCCGCAUAUCUACAACUAUCUGAUCUUUGACAAACCUGAGAAAAACAAGCAAUGGGGAAAGGAUUCCCUAUUUAAUAAAUGGUGCUGGGAAAACUGGCUAGCCAUAUGUAGAAAGCUGAAAGUGGAUCCCUUCCUUACACCUUAUACAAAAAUUAAUACAAGAGGGAUUAAAGACUUAAACGUUAGACCUAAAACCAUAAAAACCC